rnacentral:lncRNA from 1 species
GGACUGGGAUGAGGGAGAUGACUAAUGUGUGACGCCAACAUGUCACGCCACACACCGGGAAAUACUAACGCAUAGGCUUCCAUUCCAGCAGUAUGGAUCCUCAAUCUAAUAGAAGCACACAUCAAUCUGGGACCACAGAGAGUAUUCAUCAGGGAGAUGAAGUCACAAGGUAACUAAGUAGCCUGGAAUCCACAAAGGAGCAAGGCCCUCCAAGGAGAGAAGAGAUGCAUGAAUGACCUACCUCCCUCGUGGCAGAACAAGGGAGGAGGAGGUUCUGCAGCCUAAGUGGCAAGGAGAGUCAGCUACAAUUUUAAAGAACCGCUGAAGGCCCCGUGUGCACUAGUGUAUCAGUCUGAAAUAGAUGCAAGCAUCUGCUAAAACAGGAAUUCCUGUUUACUCACAGGAUAUUUCCCACGAGCCUCUGACGGGUGCUCUGAGAAAGAUUUGGGCCGGCAGGACACCUGAGAGAGCCACCAUUUGCAGCGCAGACCAGCAGAAGGUGAUCAGCUGCCACCGUGAAGGAGACAGAAAACUCUGCCAUUUCCCUAGAGCUUCCUCUCAUAUGAAGCAAAAGCCUUAAACCACUAGAGG